CCUACGGGAGGCAGCAGUGGGGAAUAUUGGACAAUGGGCGAAAGCCUGAUCCAGCCAUGCCGCGUGUGUGAAGAAGGCCUUCGGGUUGUAAAGCACUUUCAGUGGGGAAGAAAGCCUUGGGGCUAAUACCCUCGAGGAAGGACAUCACCCACAGAAGAAGCACCGGCUAACUCCGUGCCAGCAGCCGCGGUAAUACGGAGGGUGCGAGCGUUAAUCGGAAUUACUGGGCGUAAAGCGCGCGUAGGCGGUCUGAUAAGCCGGUUGUGAAAGCCCCGGGCUCAACCUGGGAACGGCAUCCGGAACUGUCAGGCUAGAGUGUAGGAGAGGAAGGUAGAAUUCCCGGUGUAGCGGUGAAAUGCGUAGAGAUCGGGAGGAAUACCAGUGGCGAAGGCGGCCUUCUGGACUGACACUGACGCUGAGGUGCGAAAGCGUGGGUAGCAAACAGGAUUAGAUACCCCAGUAGUC
rnacentral:rRNA from 1 species